CGUGGUUCAGCUCGACCCCCCGGGGCUGAACCCAACGACGACCCCCGCCACUCCCCCCUGGCGGGGGUCGUCCCAU
rfam:Pseudonocardia dioxanivorans CB1190, complete genome.